rnacentral:rRNA from 1 species
CCUGCCGGCGACCGGCGCACGGGUGAGUAACACGUAUGCGACCUGCCCCCCGCAGGGGGAUAACCGGGAGAAAUCCCGACUAAUACCGCGUAACGCCGCGGACCUGCAUGGGUCUGCGGCCAAAGGAAGCGAUUCCGGCGGGGGAUGGGCAUGCGGCGCAUUAGCUAGUCGGCGGGGUAACGGCCCACCGAGGCGACGAUGCGUAGGGGUUCUGAGAGGAAGGUCCCCCACACUGGUACUGAGACACGGACCAGACUCCUACGGAAGGCAGCAG